rnacentral:tRNA from 1 species
GGGCUCAUCGUCUAGUGGCUAGGACGCGACUCUUACAAAGUCGAGGCAGGAGUUCGAUUCUCCUUGGGCCCA